rnacentral:lncRNA from 1 species
CCCUAAUGAAUUAAUGGACUUCGCCAGCAUGACUGGCUUCCAACAUCACAAAGAGCCUGGCAACCAGACAUUCUAUUCUGUAUGUCCCCAGGGCCAUCUUGCCCUAGUAGUCAAACCUCAAUCUGAUCAGGCCUCUAGAUCUAAUUAACAAUGUACUAGAAAUACAGGGGAGCAAGGAGCAGACUAAACAAUACCAUAGAGAUGCAGCCAGUAAAAUUCAGGUCCACCUGGUUUCUUCAACAGGUUUACAGACAGCUACUGUGUGCGAGACGCUCUGCUAAGCACAGAGAAGAAAAUGCAGACCAUGGCUGUGUCUGGAAGCAUGGGAACCCGCCUUCAAAUCCCGCCUGACACUUCCAGCUGUGUGGCCCUGGAGAAUCACCUCCCACCUCUCUUUCCUGAGCCUUGGUUUCCUGAGCCUCGGUUUCCCUUGACCACAUUACCUCACAGGGUGGCCAGGGGAGGGACAUAUGCGAUUCUAUUUGAUGUCUGAAUCUGAAGUCUCAGAGGCAGAACAAUGUCCCCAAAACCCAGUGGGC